rnacentral:tRNA from 1 species
UAUUUUUAUGGUAUAUUAAGAAUACUUAUGGGCUGUGGGCCCAUGGAAGGGCAUUUUGCGGGGCGCGGCCCCUGUGGAGAGAA